rnacentral:rRNA from 1 species
GACGAACCGUGCGAACGUUGUUCGGAAUCACUGGGCUUAAAGGGCGCGUAGGCGGGCAAGCAAGUCAGGGGUGAAAGCCCACGGCUCAGCCGUGGAAGUGCCUUUGAUACUGCUGGUCUUGAGGGAGGUAGGGGCGUGCGGAACUUCCGGUGGAGCGGUGAAAUGCGUAGAUAUCGGAAGGAACACCGGUGGCGAAAGCGGCGCGCUGGAUCUCUUCUGACGCUGAGGCGCGAAAGCCAGGGGAGCAAACGGG